rnacentral:rRNA from 1 species
AUGGCCGCCUCCGGCCGCCGCAAGGAGCUCCUGUGCCAGAUCCAACACCACGCAGGUUGCUCCCAAGCCUCCAACCUCCGUCCGCCUCGAAGGACUGCGGCAUGGUGCUCAUCCUUAGGUUCUCCCCCUGCUCUCUCCCUCCCUUCCAUCUUUCUUCUGCUUUUUGUGCUCCCAAUUGGUGUGUGCUUGCUGGUCUAUGGCCAUGGCCGGUCCUUGUGUGCGCACUAUGCGAUGGACCGCGGCGUGGUGCUCAUUCCCUUGGGUUAUUCUCCCCCUGCUUGCUCCCUCCUUUCCAUCUUUCUUCUUCUGUUUUUUGUGCUCCCCAUUGGUACGCACUCUGUGCUUGCUGUGCUUCCAGCUCAUAGCAGUUCAGUAGUCUUUACACAGGUUUCUUCAGAUUUCCAACGUGAACGAAUUUAUUUUUAUGCCAAAUACCAGCUAUGUUAG